AGAUGAAAGAUGUAAGUGAAUGGAUAGACACUGCAUGUUCAUGGAUCGAAAAGACUCAGUAUUGCUAAGAUUAUAAUUCUCCCCAAAAUGUUCUUAGAUUCUACGCAAUCUCUAUCAAAGCUGUAGCAGUUGGCUAGAUGCAGUGGUCCACACCUAUAAUCCUAGCCUUUUAUCGGGCCAAGGUAGGAGGAUAAUUUAAAGCUGGGAGUUUGAGACCAACCUGGACAACACAGUGAGAGACCCCUAUCUCUACAAAAAUAAAAAUAAAACAACUAGCUGGGCACGGUGGUGCGUGCUUGUACUCCUAGCUACUCUGGAGGCUAAGGCGGAGGAUCACUUGAAGCCAGGAGUUCAGGGUUACUGUGAGUUAUGAUCAUGCCACAGCACUCCAGCCUGGAUGACAGAGUGAGACCAUAUCUCUAAAACAAACAAGCAAAAAACUGCAGCAGGCUUUUUGGCAAAAAUGAAAAAUGAAUCAGCUGGUCCUAAAUUUUAUAUGUAAUAUCCAGGAACAUUUUGAAAAAGAAGAACAAAGCUGGAAGACUUACAAUACCCAGUUUCAAAACUUACUAUAAACAGAUAGUAAUCAAGACAAUGUAGUAUUGGUGUAAAGAUAGACAUGUAUAAAACUGAGAGUUCAGAAAUUAUGGUCCAUUGAUUUUUGAUGAAGUAGCCAAGACAUUUCAAUGGAGAAAGGACCAUCUUUUCAACAAAUAGUAUUGGGACAAUUGAAUAUCCAUAUGCAAAAAAGUGAACCUAGGCUCUUACUUCACAUUAUAUACAAAAUGGAACUCAAAAUGGAUCUCAGACCUACAUGUGAGAAGUAAAACUACAAAAGUUCUAAAAGAAAACACAGGAGAGGCCAGGCGCAGUGGUCACGCCUGUAAUCCCAGCACUUUGGGAGGCCAAGGUGGGCAGAUCAUGAGGUCAGGAGAUCAAGACCAUCCUGGCUAACAUGGUGAAACCCCGUCUCUACUAAAAAUACAAAAAAUUAGCCAGGUGUGGUGGCGGGCGCCUGUAGUCCCAGCUACUCAGGAGGCUGAGGCAGGAGAAUGGUGUGACCCUGGGAGGCAGAGCUUGCAGAGAGCUGAGAUCGUGCCACUGCACUCCAGCCUGGGCGCGACAGAGCGAGACUCUGUCUCAAAAAAAAAAAAAGAAAAAUAGAGUUUCAUAUUAAAAAAGAAAACACAGGAGAAAAUCUUUAUGACCUUGGGCUAGGCAGAGUUCUUAAAUAUGACAUCAAAAGCACAGUUCACAAAAAUAGCUGACAAAUUGGAUUUUAUCAAAAUUAAAACUUUUGGGUUUAAAAGACAUCCAUAAUAAAUUGAAAAGAUGUAGACUGAAAGAAAAUAUUUAUAACUGAUGUAUGUGAUAAAGGGCUUAUAUCCAAAAUAUACAAAGAACUCAUAACUUAGUAAUAAGAAGACUAAUAAUCUAAUUUUAAAAUGAAGUAAACAUUUGAAUAGACAUUUCACCAAAGAGGAUAUGUAAAUGGCUAAUAAUCACUUGAUAAAAUGCGCAACAUCAUUAGUCAUGAGGGAAGUGCAAGUCAAAACCACAAUAAGAUAGCAUUAACACACCCACUAAGCUAUAACCAAAAAGUCAGACAAUACCUAGUGAUGGAGGAGUUAUGGGAAAACCUUCACAUAUUGCUGAUGAGAAUAUAAAAUAGAACAGCCACAUUGUGAAAUUGUUUGGCAGUUUCUUAAAAAGCUAAAUAGAUUUGCCAUACAACUCAGCGAUUCUACUAAGUAUCUACCCAAGAGAAAUGAAAACAUAUAUUCAUGCAAACACUUGUAUAGAAAUGUUCAUAGCAACAUCAUUCAUAAUAGCCAAAAACUGGAGACAACCCAAAUGUUCAUCAACUGAUGAAUGAAUAAACAAAAUGUAGUUUAUCUAUAUACAAUGGACUAUUAUUCAGCCAUAAAAAGGAAUGAAGUACUGACACAUGCUACAACAUGGGUGAACUUUGAAAACAUUAUGCUAAGUGAAAGAAGCCAGUCACAAAAAACUGUAUAGUGUAUGAUUUCAUUUAUAUGAAAUGACCAGGAAAGGAAAAUUUUUAGAGACAGAAAGCAGAUCAGUAGUUGUCUGAAACUGAAGGUAACAAGUGAGGAUUGACUGCAAAUUCUCUUUUUGUUUGUUUGUUUUGUUUCUUUUUUUUUUGACUGCACAUUCUCACAAGUAAUUUUCUGGGUGUUAGAAAUGUUCUAAAACUGGAUUGUGACAGUGGUUGCACAAAGCUAUCAAUUUACUAAAAAUUAUUCACUGUACACUUAUAAUGGGUGAAGUCUUAUGGUACAUAAAAUAUAUUU
rnacentral:lncRNA from 1 species